ACGGUAAUAUUACGUUUAAACACCGAUUUUUGUCCGUUCAUCGAAGUUAAGCGACGUCGAGCCUGAUCAUUACCUAGAUGGGUGUCCGCUUGGGAAUACCAGGUGUUAU